rnacentral:rRNA from 1 species
UACCCGCAGCACAAGUGGUGGUCAUUAUUAUUGGGCCUAAAGCGUCCGUAGCUGGCGUGUUAGAUGCCUGGGUAAAUCGAAGCGCUCAACGUUUCGAAUUCCGGGUAGACCGGCACGCUCGAGACCGGGAGAGGUGCAGGGUACUCGGGGGGUAGGGGUAAAAUCCUGUAAUCCUCCGGGGACGACCAGUGGCGAAGGCGCUACACUAGAACGGCUCUGACAGUGAGGGACGAAGCCCUGGGGCGCAAACCGG